rnacentral:piRNA from 1 species
UGGGACAGUAAUGAGCAAGCAAUGGCUG